rnacentral:rRNA from 1 species
UGGCGAACGGGUGAGUAACGCGUGAGGAACCUGCCUCAAAGAGGGGACGAACAGUUGGAAACGACUGCUAAUACCGCAUAAGCCCACGACCCGGCAUCGGGAAGAGGGAAAAGGAGCAAUCCGCUUUGAGAUGGCCUCGCGUCCGAUUAGCUAGUUGGUGAGGUAACGGCCCACCAAGGCAACGAUCGGUAGCCGGACUGAGAGGUUGAACGGCCACAUUGGGACUGAGACACGGCCCAG